GUGAAUCAUCGAAUUUUUGAACGCAAAUUGCACUCUCCUCUAAGAGUAUGACUAUUUGAGGGUGAGCCUAUAAAAAAUCAACAUCGUUGCUGUUUCUCGGUGGCGUUCGUCGGAAAUUGGUUCAUCUUAAUUCCUUUUGAUUUAAGCGACUUAAAAUUUGCUUUUGGUUCCAUUAACGUUUCUAAGAUAUAUUUCUUUACACGUUUAAGGUAUCGAUUUUUAUUAAACGUGACCUACACAUCGGAUCGCGACCAUAAUAUUUCAUUAACUAACA
rnacentral:misc_RNA from 1 species